CUUAACCCAAAUAUGAAAGGGCAACAAAGAGAAUAAUACAAACAGGUCAACUUUGAUACAUUUUCUAGUCAUUUCUUCUGUUACAUGUUUAAAGCUGAGGCUACAAGGACAACAAAAUGCUCGACCAUUUCUAAAUCUAACAUUCUACAAAUCGAGUGCUUUUACUGGAUGAAAGUAACACUUGAAUACAAGUAACUUACAUUGAAAUGAAUUAUACUACAAAGCAGUAUUCACUUCACAGAACAUCAAGUGCUGCUCAAACUGUAAAUAUCUGCCUCACCAUCUAGAAGUGUCUACGACAUAUAGGGCAAGUACGAACACUCUCUGCUAUCUUGCAAAUUUCGAAUCAAAUUACAUAAGUUAUCUUUAAUUAGCAUUAGCUUCUAUAGUAUUAACGUGGGAGAAAUUGGCUUAUUAGCACAAAACGUCCUUACGUUCCAAAUUUUUGCAUUUUCAUCUCUAUUUCUACGUUUCAUUGCGGAAAACAUCAUUUUCAUCAAUUUCCAUCCAUUUUUUCAAUAAAAAAAAAAUCGUAAAUUGACAAAUAUACCUCCUAUUUAAAUAAAACAAAAAAGAAAAAUAAAGAACAAAUUGCAACUAGACUCCCAAAAUUUUCAAAAAAAUACUAAUAAAUCUCAAAACCAAUUAAAAUAGUAAAUUACAUAUAGUCCAACGUCUUAUCACUCCCUCGUCAAAUUUCAAUUUAGUUUCAUCCUUCUGCUGCAAAAUUUAACCCAACAUGGCAGCGGAAAUAGCCUUAGCCCAUAUCCAAAUUUAACUCCACCAUCAUAAGAAUUGGAAACUCCCGACCAUCAAGCAUCGGAUUUUUUACCAUCACAAUGUCAUCACCCAGUCCUACGCAGCAACUGUAGCCAAGAAAAAAAGGCUAGCAAACAAGAAAUACAUGAAACCUCGUUGACUCCAAGAUUCUACACCAUAGAUUUUGAUGAAAUUGAGAAGCUUUUUAACACAGAAAUCAAGAAGAAUCUGCAGAUGUCUGAGUUUGGGGCUUUAUUGCAGGAAUUCAAUACUGAUUUCUACCAAACUCAUUUUGUAAGGAAGAAGGAGUUCAAUCAGGUUCAAAGAGUGCGCGCUGCACAUGAACUGGGCAGAAAUUCUGGGUCAUACGUUGGGAUAAUUAAUAAUUUCAUAUGUGGGUUUCACAUUUGAUUGUAAAUUUUACGGGUUAGAUGUAUGACACAUAAUGAUAUUUGUGUUUGGACCAAAUUUAUGAAGUGAUCAAUUGAGUCUUUUACACCUUAUAUGUUGUAAUUAAUUUGAUGUGGUAAUUUAAACUAUGUGGGGCGAAAAUAAACCCUAAUUAAAAUUCUAGUCGUAAUGGGACGGCUCAAUUAUUUCCUAUAUAAAGGUUAGGUCCCCUCUUCUCUCUAUAAGUUUUUUAUUGGCUAGCCCCAUUAAUAGUUAAUACUUUGUGAGGAGCAAGGAGGGAAGGAUCUUGACUACUAUUACAACUAUCAUUCAUAUCAACAAUGUCUUUCGCGGGUAUGAAUUCGUUUCUAUUAAUUUAUUGGAUUGUGAUUAUUGAUUCUUAACAUGAUUAAAACUAAAUAUUAACAAUUGGUAUCAGAGCAACAUGCUAAGAUCGAAAUCCUUCAUGAAUUUUUUUUCUUAUCUCACUUUGAAAAACAUCUUCUGUGCAUACAUUAAAAUUAUAUGUGUCAUUGAAUUAAUUCGUAUUUCCUUCACGUGGUUGAGUAACCCACAAGCAGAAACCAUAAAUGCUCUCUCUCUCCCCUCCUUUUAUAUAUUUAUAAUGUAGGAACCAUAAAUGAUUUCCCCCUCUUCUCCUUUUAUAUAUAUAUAAUGCAGGAACCAUAAAUGCUUUCCCUCUCUCUCCUCCUUUUAUAUAUAUAUAUAUAUAGCCCUUCGGGGCAUAGUUCAGUGGUGUAAAGGACAGGAGUGAGGUUACCCCACGC
rnacentral:lncRNA from 1 species